GCGGAUAUGGUCAAAUGGUAAAAUCUCUU
rnacentral:tRNA from 2 species